UUAUAUUAAUAGAGGUGUCGCAAAAGGAGAAUGAGAGCUCAGGACAAGAUUGUUUCCCUUUCCGAAAAACUACAAUAGUGCUUUUCAAUGCAUUGUAUGUUAGGCGCCAUCUGGAAGCAUAUUCUGAAACAAUAUGAAGUGAAUUCUGAAGCCCAUCGGAGGGGUACUUAACAGUGUCGUAUCAUCGGCUAACAGGACUGAUGGUACAUCAAUACCAUAUACACAUAUACCAUUGUUACUAAGUCUUAAUUCAGUUAGUAAAUCAUUUAUGAAGACAAGGAAGAACCAUGUAGACAAGACUCUACCUUGCCUUACACGUUGUUUUACUUCAAAUGUGUCUGAGCUAUUUCCAUUGUACAUUACAAAAGAAGAGCUGCAGGUGUAGCUGUGAUAUAGCAGAUUCCACAUUUUAUCCGUUAUACCCAAAUUGUGGAGUUUUAAGAAUAGACUGCCAUGCCAAAUUCAAUCAAAAGCUUUCUCAUUAUCGAGAAAAGCUGAGAAGACUUGAGAGCCACGCUCAACAUAAUAUGUUACACAAUCAUUGAGCUUAAGCGUCGACAUAAUUGCACCAUGUUCUUUUCUAAAUCCAAACUGUAGAGGGUCUGGAAAGUAAGGAUUAAUAUGGCUUAUAUAAAAUGUAGACGUGACAGUAAUAGUUUUUCAAAUAGUUACCCUAUACAGGAGGCUAGGGUGAUACCUCUGUAGUUUUUGGGAUCACAUAUUGCACCUUUUCCUGUAUACAUGUAUUUAGCAAAACAAUCAAUUAGUGCUGUUGAUUGAGAAAAGGAGGCAUUUGUCAAUCUGUUUGACACUCUACACUCUGACUUCUGACUUUACUAUGAAAAGACCCUUUGAUCCAAUUAAAGAGGUAAUAACAGCCUCAGUCCAGAGUGCAACCUGGCAGGUUCGGAAUCCUAGCUGAGGUUGAGUUACUGGUUUCAAAAUUCAUCAUCUAACAUUAAUUCUUAAUUCUUUGGGCAAUAUUAGAUUUGCUAGUAUGUAUGAAAUGUGGUUAUUUGAAGGAGAAGACAUUUCCUAAUCAUUUGUGCUUAAUUACAAUUCUCAAAAGCUUACAUUAUAAACAAAAGUGCAUAUUUGUAUGAAUCUGACAAAACAAUUUUCCAUGACAUCAUUUGGAUGCUGCUCCUAACAAAAUAGAGAGUUUUGAUCUACUAAAGUUGUCAUUUCUGAAACCAGCUAUCAAUUGAUAUCCAGCCAAAAUAUUCCUUCAAAUGUUUGAUAAAUGAGCUUUUUAGUUUUCAUUAUUAUGUCAUUGCACCAUUUCAGACAAAUUUUCAAAUACUUUGGCAAAAACUUUUACAGCAAUCACAAAGUAUCUGAAAUAUCUGUUGUAUACGAUUUAGAUGAAAUAAUCAUGGAAUGUUGAUGUUUUAAAAUCACUUUAAAGAUUCUGACUGAUUCUGAACAACAUAAGUAACAAUAAUGUGUUUUUUUACGAUGUUCCAGAGGCCACUAUGAUGUUUUACAUUUAAGAUUGUUACAAAUUCGGCUAUGAUGGAGGGCAAGUUUAAAAUACACCAACAACUAUAUAAUUUAGAUGUUCCAAGAGCAUGCCUGGCACAACUAUUAACAUCAAAAUUACUCUAAAUUGUAGAGGCCUAAAUGGUAUUUUGAAGAGAAAACAAGUACACUGGAAAUUCAACAAUUCACUUUUUGAAAGACAAAGAGUAUGCAGAUCUUGUAAGGAAAACUAUAAGUGAUACCUUAGAACAAUAUAAAGAUAAUACAAACAAAGAAGAUAAUAGUUUAAUCCUAAAUGAUCAACUACUAUGGGAAAUGUUACUGUUGGAACAUAAGGGGAAGUACAAUUUAUUUUCCAUCAACGCGUAAGAAGAAAAAUCUGGCUCUAGAAGCCAAACUAGAAGAAGAUUUGAAUGAUUAUGAAAUUAAAUUGGGUGAAGUUAAUGAUGAAAUUGAAAAAGACUUACAUAUGGAAUAAUUUAAGAAAACUAAAUCCGAAAGAUCAAAAGCCAAAUGGAUAGAACAAGGGGAAAAACCAUCCAAAUACUUUUUACAAUUAGAAUCCAGAAAUUUUCUUAAUAAAUCCAUAUCAAAGCUUGAAUUUUAUUGAAUACACAAGAUGAUAUUAUCCAAGAAGUUAAAAAUUAUGAUGAACAUUUAUAUACUAGUGAAGAUUGCACCGUAUUGACUUAGAAAAUCUUUUUACAGAGACACUUAUUUCAAGAACACAUUAAAGGGAAUAUUUGUGGCUGUAUUUAAAAAAACCCAGAAUAUCACAACCAUCGUAUUUAAUGCAGGAGCUGGUAAACACUGACUUAAACAAAUCACCCCAACCAGUCAUCAGUACCAGCAUAUGCCAGUCAGGGCAUAGACACAUGGUUUUUAACCCACGUAACUGUAGCAAAUGACAGGGAACACACAUAACAAUGUGUUGAGAAUCAAGGCAGAGCUAUGGAGAUGCUCCAAACUGACAAUAGUCAAUGUCAGGUGGCUGCACAUUUUAACGUCACUCAGGGUGUGAUUGGGAAGCUGUGGAGUAUGUUACUGAUUUCUUAUAUCGUAGUAUAUAAGAAAUGAACACACUAAGACCAAUAACCAUACAAAGUAGAAAGUGUUCUGUUGAUCUCCCAUUCUCAACAUCCAGCAGUUUGUCCACAACUGAUGCCAGUUACAGACAUGCUCACUUGCAAUGGUGCUGACUUCUGCUUUCCUGGUCCACAUGAUCACCAGAUCUGUCAAGAUUAAAGUUUAGGCCUUUCUUUUGUUCUUCAUCAUGAUGGUCUGACUAUAGAUACUGUCCCCGUUCCUACUUAUCUUUUCAGAUAGCAGAUAUACCACUCUCUGGAACUUUCUCAAGAGUAAUCUGUACAGAUGAGCACUAAUCAAGCACCACCCUCUUUUUAUAAAAGUGCGAAAACACUACAUGUUGUACAUGCUUUGAAAAUCAAAUGCCACGUAUCAAAAUGUUAACUGAAACAUUUCAUAAACAAAAACGAAAUUGAAAUUUGUAAACUCAACAAUGCCAAAGUAUGGUCACCAUGACUGUACCACCAAUAUCUGAUUGUUCCAGAGUUCUUAAAUGAUGAUUGUUGUGGCAACCCCUAGCAUGGAUAUCAUAUGCCAGUCAUGCCAUACUGGCAGUCAAGCAUCGUAUUCUCAGCAGGAGGAUCUAGUGUUAGCAUAUAAGAUAGUCAAAAAGAUGAGGUUCCCAUCAGGGCUCCUUUUGGGCAAAUUGGAAUUUUGCAGUGACGGCCUGAGGACAAUGAAGUCCAGCACAGUCAUGCAUGAAUACUGGACUACUGGCAAGGGGGUGCUCAUCAAAAUAUUUCAUUUUCCAGUAUUUCCUGUUGAUAACGUUGACCACUGAGUGUAAUGAGAUCCAACUAGCAGUCAUACGAAAGGCAACAUCGCAACAUCACUGAGGUACCACCAAAGGGAAAGGUUCAGCUACAAUGGUGCUUUCAUCAGACCAAUGAACCCUACGCCAGUCCACAAGUGGCAGUUUACUCCGUGCCUGCCCCUUCUGAUCGGACGACGUGCCCUCAUAGUGGCAGCCAUCAUACGUGAACAUGUGACGCAUAGCCUUUGAGAUAUUGUGCGAAGCAAGUGCUUUACAGGUGCAUUCAUGUAUGCUUGGGUAUUACCGCCUGUAAGGGGCUAAUUGGAGUACAAUCGCCAACAGCUGAAGGGAUGGGGUAAAAUCAGCUAGGGACUUUGCAGGUACCAAAAAUACUGUAAGACCCCAUGGUCCCAAGUAUGGUGAUCUAUCGUGAGUUGCUGUCGAUCCAUUGCCCGUUUUUAUAUUGUGUUGUUUAAUAUGAUGACUUGUUUUAUGGUAUGUAUACAUGUUAGUUUUAAAUUUCUCUCUGUGAUCAUCUAGUUGUUUUACUUUACUUUAUUGACAUGGCUUAGUUUGAAUUUUUUUUUUUUUCUGAAAAAGCGUAUUACUUGAUCAAGUCACAAUAUGGCUGAAAUAAUGCCGACGUGACUUUAAUCACACUUACUCACUCCAUGGAUUCAAGUCCAUCUGUUUUUGUCAUUACGACUAAUAAUGAUAUACAUGUAAUGUAUCAGUAAGUUCAAAAUCAAUUAUAUGUAUAUGUGCGUGCGUGCGUGCGUGCGUGCGUGCGUGCGUGCGUGCGUGCGUGCGUGCGUGUGUGUGUGUGUGUGUAAUCUGUAACUGUAAUCACCCCCUGAAGAUUAAGUCGCGUUGGAGGGAAAUUCGUGUUUUGUCAUAAUUUAUUAGACUCUCAUAAUGAACAGAUGAAUUAGGUAUCUAAAAAAUAAAACAGCUUAUUUUC
rnacentral:lncRNA from 1 species